GCCUGGGUGGCUCAGUCGGUUGAGCGUCUGACUUCAGCUCAGGUCAUGAUCUCGCGGUUCGUGGGUUCGAGCCCCGCGUCGGGCU
rnacentral:tRNA from 1 species